rnacentral:ncRNA from 1 species
UUGAGCCGUAUGCGGGGAAACUCGCACGUACGGUUCUUAGGGGAGGAACAGCCAGUAAUGGCUGUUCCUUACCCGAC